UACAGAGGGUGCAAGCGUUAAUCGGAAUUACUGGGCGUAAAGCGCGCGUAGGCGGUUGUGUAAGUUGGAUGUGAAAGCCCCGGGCUUAACCUGGGAAUGGCAUUCAAAACUGCACGGCUAGAGUGUGGGAGAGGAAGGUAGAAUUCCAGGUGUAGCGGUGAAAUGCGUAGAGAUCUGGAGGAAUACCGAUGGCGAAGGCAGCCUUCUGGUCUAACACUGACGCUGAGGUGCGAAAGCAUGGGGAGCAAACAGG
rnacentral:rRNA from 1 species